rnacentral:rRNA from 1 species
UACGGGGGGGGCAAGCGUUGUUCGGAAUUACUGGGCGUAAAGGGCGCGUAGGCGGCCCGGUAAGUCAAAGGUGAAAUCCCUCGGCUCAACUGAGGAACUGCCUUUGAAACUGUCGGGCUUGAGGCCGGGAGGGGGUAGCGGAAUUCCCAGUGUAGCGGUGAAAUGCGUAGAUAUUGGGAGGAACACCGGUGGCGAAGGCGGCUACCUGGACCGGUUCUGACGCUGAUGCGCGAAAGCGUGGGUAGCAAACAGG